UCUAAGGAAAUCGAUAACAAUUUUUAUCGAUUUAAAAAAAUAGAUAAUGUGACCGUCCUCAUUUCUCUUCUUUUAAUGUCUCUGAGUAAAUGUAAGUAAGGGGCCGGUAGCUCAGGUGGUUAGAGCGCACCCCUGAUAAGGGUGAGGUCGGAAGUUCGAGUCUUCCUCGGCCCACCAAUAUUACGGGGGAUUAGCUCAGCUGGGAGAGCGCCUGAUUUGCAUUCAGGAGGUCAGCGGUUCGAUCCCGCUAUCCUCCACCAAAAUUUGAGACAUUUAGCUUUUUUAAAUCGUAAAUAAUUUUAUUAUCAAUAUCUAUAUCCGAUUGUUUUCAUAAGAUUUUGAAAACAAUCAAAACAAAAAUUUAAUUUAUUUCAGAAAAAAAAGUUUUUUUCUGUGCAUAAAU
rnacentral:tRNA from 1 species